rnacentral:rRNA from 1 species
UACGGGAGGCAGCAGUGGGGAAUAUUGCACAAUGGGCGCAAGCCUGAUGCAGCCAUGCCGCGUGUAUGAAGAAGGCCUUCGGGUUGUAAAGUACUUUCAGUCGUGAGGAAGGUGUUAAGGUUAAUAACCUUAGCAAUUGACGUUAGCGACAGAAGAAGCACCGGCUAACUCCGUGCCAGCAGCCGCGGUAAUACGGAGGGUGCGAGCGUUAAUCGGAAUUACUGGGCGUAAAGGGCACGCAGGCGGUUAAUUAAGUUGGAUGUGAAUCCCCGGGCUUAACCUGGGAAUGGCAUUCAAGACUGGUUAGCUAGAGUCUUGUAGAGGGGGUAGAAUUCCAUGUGUAGCGGUGAAAUGCGUAGAGAUGUGGAGGAAUACCGGUGGCGAAGGCGGCCCCUGGGACAAAGACUGACGCUCAUGUGCGAAAGCGUGGGGAGCGAAACAGGGAUUAGAUACC